AUUGAACGCUGGCGGCAGGCUUAACACAUGCAAGUCGAACGGAGUGGCGGACGGGUGAGUAAUGCUUGGGAAUCUAGCUUAUGGAGGGGGAUAACGUCAGGAAACGGGCGCUAAUACCGCAUACUAUCAGAUGAGCCUAGGUCGGCUUAGCUAGUUGGGGGGGUAAAGGCCUACCAAGGCGACGAUCCGUAACUGGUCUGAGAGGAUGAUCAGUAACACUGGAACUGAGACACGGUCCAGACUCCUACGGUAGGCAGCAGUGGGGAAUAUUGGACAAUGGGCGAAAGCCUGAUCCAGCCAUGCGGCGUGUGUGAAGAAGGUCUUCGGAUUGUAAAGCACUUUAAGUUGGGAGGCGUUAACAACAGAAUAAGCACCGGCUAACUUCGUGCCAGCAGCCGCGGUAAUAC
rnacentral:rRNA from 1 species